rnacentral:rRNA from 1 species
AGGACGAACGCUGGCGGCGUGCUUAACACAUGCAAGUCGAACGGAAAGGCCCUUCGGGGUACUCGAGUGGCGAACGGGUGAGUAACACGUGGGUGAUCUGCCCUGCACUUUGGGAUAAGCCUGGGAAACUGGGUCUAAUACCGAAUAGGACUACGGGAUGCAUGUCUCGUGGUGGAAAGCUUUUGCGGUGUGGGAUGGGCCCGCGGCCUAUCAGCUUGUUGGUGGGGUGAUGGCCUACCAAGGCGACGACGGGUAGCCGGCCUGAGAGGGUGUCCGGCCACACUGGGACUGAGAUACGGCCCAGACUCCUACGGGAGGCAGCAGUGGGGAAUAUUGCACAAUGGGCGCAAGCCUGAUGCAGCGACGCCGCGUGGGGGAUGACGGCCUUCGGGUUGUAACCCCUUUCAGCACAGACGAAGCGCAAGUGACGGUAUGUGCAGAAGAAGCACCGGCCAACUACGUGCCAGCAGCCGC